UGCGAGGUGGAGCAGCUUGGUAGCUCGUCGGGCUCAUAACCCGAAGGUCGAAGGUUCAAAUCCUUCCCUCGCAA
rnacentral:tRNA from 6 species